rnacentral:tRNA from 1 species
GCCGAAGUGGCGGAAUUGGCAGACGCGACGGUCUCAAAAACCGUUGAGGCUAACACCUCGUGUGGGUUCGAUCCCCACCUUCGGCACCA